GAAACGCGAAAUGUAAUGUGAAUUGCAGAACCCCCGUGAAUCAUCGAAUCCUUGAACGCACCUUGCGCCCUGGGGUAUUCCCCUGGGCAUGCCUGUCUGAGUGUUGCGCACCUCUCAACCAGCAUCGGUUUGCCUUUGCUCGGCUUGGAUCGUGGCCGCUGGCCGACGCACGUCGGCCCGGCCGAAAUGCAUGCGGAGCGCGUUACGCGUAGCCGCGACGUUACCGGCGUUGCAGACCCCUCGCUAGUGACGCCGUAGUUGCACGGCUCCCCCGUCUAUCAUUUCAACCUCAGAUCAAGCAGGACUACCCGCUGAACUUAA
rnacentral:misc_RNA from 1 species